CGUUCCCGGGCCUUGUACACACCGCCCGUCACACCACGAAAGUCGGCAACACCCGAAGCCAGUGGCCCAACCCCUUAGGGAGGGAGCUGUCGAAGGUGGGGUCGGCGAUUGGGGUG
rnacentral:rRNA from 1 species